rnacentral:rRNA from 1 species
UACGUAGGUGGCAAGCGUUGUCCGGAUUUACUGGGCGUAAAGAGCGCGCAGGCGGUCGAUCAAGUCGAGUGUGAAAGCCCCCGGCUCAACUGGGGAGGGUCACGCGAUACUGGUCGACUCGAAGGCAGGAGAGGGUAGUGGAAUUCCCGGUGUAGUGGUGAAAUGCGUAGAUAUCGGGAGGAACACCAGUGGCGAAGGCGACUACCUGCCUGUUCUUGACGCUGAGGCGCGAAAGCUAGGGGAGCAAACGGGG